rnacentral:rRNA from 1 species
GGAGCCCUGCCCAGUGACAGAGUUCAACGGCUACGGUACCCUGACCGUACGAAGGUAGCAUAAUCACUUGUUCCUUAAAUGGGGACUUGUAUCAACGGCAUCACGAGGGCUGCACUGUCUCCUUUCUUCAAUCAGUGAAACUGAUCCCCCCGUGAAGAAGCGGGGAUAAAAUUAUAAGACGAGAAGACCCCAUGGAGCUUUAAAUAAUACAGCCACACUAUAUCAAAAUAUCCUCUUACUAAAAGUCCUGACUGUAAAUUUUAGGUUGGGGAGACCGCGGAGAACAACUAAACCUCCACGACAGACGGCCUAAGCCCUUAUCCACGAAUAACACUUCUAAGAAUCAGUACUCUGAUGUUAUUGACCCGAUAUUAUUCGACUGACGAACCAAGUUACCCUGGGGAUAACAGCGCAAUCUACUUUGAGAGCCCAUAUCGACAAGUGGGUUUACGACCUCGAUGUUGGAUCAGGGUAUCCUUGUGGUGCAGCAGCUACUAAAGGUUCGUUUGUUCAACGAUUAAAACCUUACGUGAUCUGAUUCCAGACCGGAUGUGUUUGUAAACAAGGCGAAAAGAGACCCCAGAGGAACCGCCCCGCAGGAUAUAAUAUUUCCCUUCCC